rnacentral:rRNA from 1 species
GUCGCGAGANGUCCACUGAACCUUAUCAUUUAGAGGAAGGAGAAGUCGUAACAAGGUUUCCGUAGGUGAAYCUGCGGAAGGAUCAUUG